rnacentral:tRNA from 2 species
GCGGAAGUGGUGGAACUGGUAGACACACCAUCUUGAGGGGGUGGCGGCGAAAGCCGUGCGGGUUCAAAUCCCGCCUUCCGCA